UACGAAGGGGGCUAGCGUUGCUCGGAAUCACUGGGCGUAAAGCGCACGUAGGCGGAUCGUUAAGUCGGAGGUGAAAUCCUGGAGCUCAACUCCAGAACUGCCUUCGAUACUGGCGAUCUUGGAGUCCGGGAGAGGUGAGUGGAACUCCGAGUGUAGAGGUGAAAUUCGUAGAUAUUCGGAAGAACACCAGUGGCGAAGGCGGCUCACUGGCCCGGUACUGACGCUGAGGUGCGAAAGCGUGGGGAGCAAACGGG
rnacentral:rRNA from 1 species